ensembl:lncRNA
AUUUUCCUCCAGGAUGUGAGCAGGAAUAAAUGCCUCAGUGUGUUCAGCUGCUGAGAAAUCUGCAGUCAGAUUAAGUUCAUCACGCUUAAAACUGAAGAAAAAAAAACAACCCAACAAACUACCACAGAAAAUAGGGUGGAAUUCCACUCCCUGCCAUGGCAGUCUGCAGUGCCCUUUACAGAGCACAGCAGUAAAAUCACACAAACUCCUGACGCUUGAAAACGUGAAAGCUGCGGGAAGCACACAAAAAGAAAGCAAUUGGCCCUAUACGUGUGCAAAAAUUUGCUAGCAGAAGCCCAAAAUUGUGCAUCCACACUGCGAAGUCAGAGCACACACCACUUCCUCACUUCUCCAACAUCACCGUGGCUUUCAGGCAGAAGGAUAACUCCCCACCUUUUUAAGUAAGGGAAGCAGCGAGGCGUUGAACGGGAGCCUGCCCGAGAGUGUCCCGUCCCUGCCACCUUGUGACAAGGCGCUCCAACUGCAAAUCCUCAAACUCGCAAGACCUGAAGCUUUCGGCUGGACCUGGCUCUCCUCCGGGAUGCUCGGAGGGAAGCACAAGGUCCGCUCCAGCAGACCCCAAGGCGCGGAUGGCGCCUUCCUGUGGGCGACGGUGGCGUGCCCUUUCCUUGGACCCAAGGAGCACUGCAAACUCCGUUUUGCCAACAUGCAAGUGCUGUGUUAGGAGCUGGCAAUGGCUUUCCAGCAGCUCUCCAGGCUGCCUGGCUGGCAGGGGAUGGGACCUGCCGCGUUACCACAGCAAGGCAGGGAAGAGAGUGGUCCUUACUUUCCUCCUAGGCAGAGCUCUGCAGCGUGCUUUAAACUUGACUGUUUAAGAGGGGGAAAAAAUAGGUUAGCCAAGGGUUGUUUUUGUUUUGUUUUUUUCCCCAGACUUAUCUGAUGUUUUUGCUUGCUUUGCCUCUUCCUGACUUCCUUGUCCUAAGAAAACAUCUGCCUUUGGCCUUCUAAGGGGAACGUUUAUGUAAUGCUUGAAAAAAUAACAAGAAAGUGAGAGCUUUCUUUAAAGCCUCAUCCAAGGAGACAUGUUAUCGCAGCUUCUCCAUCCCCACUGCAUGCAGAGCUGUGGCAUCAAGCCAGCGCCACUCCUCCUCCGCUUUGUCCCCAAAUCUGCCCGGAGAAGCGAGGUUACUUUGGUGUUCCAUUGUUCUGGCUUUCCUGCAGAGGUGCUCCCAGAGCAGUUACACUUUGAUGGAAAGGGCCUUCCUGUCCUGCAGGCCAUGUGACAGCUCAUACAAGCUGCAGCAGCCUUGCUCCAGCUGGGAAGGGUUGAUUUCUUCUACUGUCUUCGCUGUCCUGGGGGAAAUACAGCUCUGCUGUGCUGGGAGAAAGCUGUUACUUUUGUGCACAGCUUGCAUCCCAGCUUUCCAGUGGUAUUUAGGUACCUAAACCAGCUUGCACUGAACCUAAUAGAGCUGGCCAUGCAGAGAUUUCUGCUUCUGAUGCUGCAAAGGAUGAGAAGUCAUCUGUGGGAGAGAAGUGCAGUCCUUCUUGUUUGCUUUCCAGUAGCAAUUGCAUGGUACAAGAUUUCACUGUAGGGAUACAGCCAUCAAAGCGUGCUGGCUGAGGCUCAGGGUGCAGAAAACAACACUGCUAGCCUUCCCCAGAUGCUUGUUAUAACAAUUCAGGUAAAGCAGUUCCCCCCACCUUUCCUUGGAGAGAUCACUGGAGGCUCCCACAGGACAGCACCACCAGAAAAAUUACCAAGGAAAACUGGCAAAUUCUUGUUUAUGAAGGAAGAAGUGCAGUGAUGACAACAUCGUUCUGGUAUAGAAUUACAGAAUCAUUAAGGUUGGAAAAAACCACUAAGGUCAUUUAAUCCAACAGUUGACCCAUCCCCACCAUGCCCACUAACCCAUGUCCCUCAGUAUCACACCUACACAGCUCUUGAACAUCUCCAGGGAUGGCGACUAUGGAGCAAUGAAUAUCAGGAAACAAAUCACUAAAACAAAACAAAACAAAAAGUUUGGUUUUAAUAAAUUAAUAAUUUUUAAAUUUAAAAAGCAGUAUUUUAAAUUAGUAUUAAAAGUAAUGUUUUUCACACUGACGAAGAAACAGAAUUUGCCAGGGGCCACGUCAGGCCUUUUUUAUGAAGCAGAAUCAUAGGAACCUAUAGCAGGAAUUUGAUAGGCUGAGCCACUCUGCAGUGAGUGCAGACUUCCAUAUGAGGCAAGUCAGGUCCUCCACAUCACAGAUCUAACUAGGGCAGGCCAAGUUAGGGCAUCACAAAUGGCAAAAUAACAACAGACACAUUGAGGACAUGCCUUGAGAAUAUCACCGAUACAACGUGCACAUCAAAUAGCAGUAUGGAUGCGACCCAAAAAGCAUUAAGCAAAGCAACAGACAAGUUGUCCAAAUGUUACAUCAUAGCAAUCGAAAGCUUAAACAGAACAGGACAGGAUCAAAAUAAUUAGCAAACGAUACUGAAUGCCCUGUGUAUUUGAAGGUGAGGUGGUAAGAUGGGGGGGGAAGAAAAGGUGAGUGGUCCCUGCAAUUUUCAGUGGG